CCGAGAGCUGCGGAAUCCAGUCAGGUUCCUAAAUGUUGCUCCUUAGCACGCUGUGAACUUUGCCCCACACUCAUUAGCAUCAGUGUUUAGGAUGGGUUAGGACAUCAGUAACUGUUGAUCUGAGACUGCUGACCCUUUCUGAGUCCUGGGCAUUAAAUAACAGAAGAUGAUGUGGGGAUUAGGUUAUUUUCUAUCCACUUGUGGGUUUGUAGCCGGACGAGCCACAGACAAGAACCGCUCAGACACCGAGUUAUGGAAGGAAAGGGCUUUAUUCAGCUGGGAGCAUUGGCGGACUCACAUCUUCGAAAACCGAGCUCCCGGAGUGAGCAAUUCCUGUCCCUUUUAAGGGCAUACAACUCUAAGAGGGUCUGCGUGAGUGGGUCGUGAUCGAUUGAGC
rnacentral:lncRNA from 10 species